rnacentral:rRNA from 1 species
UACGAAGGGGGCUAGCGUUGUUCGGAAUUACUGGGCGUAAAGCGCACGUAGGCUGAUUGUUAAGUCAGGGGUGAAAUCCCGGAGCUCAACUCCGGAACUGCCUUUGAUACUGGCAAUCUCGAGUCCGGAAGAGGUUAGUGGGAUUCUCAGUGUAGAGGUGAAAUCCGUAGAUAUUGAGAAGAACACCAGUGGUGAAGGCGGCUAACUGGUCCGGUACUGACGCUGAGGUGCGAAAGCGUGGGGAGCAAACAGG